rnacentral:rRNA from 1 species
UACAGAGGGUGCAAGCGUUAAUCGGAUUUACUGGGCGUAAAGCGUGCGUAGGCGGUUCGCUAAGUCGGUUGUGAAAUCCCUGGGCUUAACCUGGGAACUGCAGUCGAUACUGGUGGACUAGAGUACGGUAGAGGGUGGCGGAACUCCGGGUGUAGCGGUGAAAUGCGUAGAUAUCAGGAGGAACACCGAUGGCGAAGGCAGGUCUCUGGGCUGACACUGACGCUCAUGCACGAAAGCGUGGGGAGCAAACAGG